AGUUUUAUAUUCAAUAUUAAUGAUUUUAAAUUGCAAAUUUAAAGUAGUAAAUUUAAUUUACUAAAACUU
rnacentral:tRNA from 1 species